rnacentral:rRNA from 1 species
ACGGGUGAGUAACACGUGGGUGAUCUGCCCUGCACUUCGGGAUAAGCCUGGGAAACUGGGUCUAAUACCGGAUAUGACCUCCUAUCGCAUGGUGGGUGGUGGAAAGAUUUAUCGGUGCAGGAUGGGCCCGCGGCCUAUCAGCUUGUUGGUGGGGUAAUGGCCUACCAAGGCGGCGACGGGUAGCCGACCUGAGAGGGUGACCGGCCACACUGGGACUGAGACACGGCCCAGACUCCUACGGGAGGCAGCAGUGGGGAAUAUUGCACAAUGGGCGAAAGCCUGAUGCAGCGACGCCGCGUGAGGGAUGACGGCCUUCGGGUUGUAAACCUCCUUCAGCAGGGACGAAGCGCAAGUGACGGUACCUGCAGAAGAAGCACCGGCUAACUACGUGCCAGCAGCCGCGGUAAUACGUAGGGUGCAAGCGUUGUCCGGAAUUACUGGGCGUAAAGAGUUCGUAGGCGGUUUGUCGCGUCGUUUGUGAAAACCAGCAGCUCAACUGCUGGCUUGCAGGCGAUACGGGCAGACUUGAGUACUGCAGGGGAGACUGGAAUUCCUGGUGUAGCGGUGAAAUGCGCAGA